GGAAAGGUGGCAGAGUGGUCGAAUGCGCCGGACUCGAAAUUCGGUAAGGGUUAAUAGCCCUUCGUGGGUUCAAAUCCCACCCUUUCCGCCA
rnacentral:tRNA from 1 species